UAAUUUUAAUUUUUAGGGUAUCUACGAGAGGGACACGAAGAAAAACCUCAGUCGAUCUCCAUUGCAGUAGAUCUCCGUCAAUUGUUGCUCUGUGAUCUUGCUAGAAUCAAGGGAUAGAUUUGGCAGUCAUAUUCAUGCAGAUUACUCAUUUGGUUGUCCAGUAGAAAUGGGAGCAUCAUGUAAGGCAGGAAUCCAAAUCCAAAGAUGAAUCUUUGAGGAAGCUAGAAGAGAACUUAUAGAACCUUGAGAGCACGGCAAAAGUCAGAGAUCAGAGUCAUAAAAAUCUACAUGAGAAGAUAAAAAAAAACUUGAAGGCCAGAUUGAGUUGAAGGCAGCCAUUCCCAACCAAUAUGAGAGCAACUUUAGGAAUUAUCUGAGAGAUUGAAGGGGAGGGAAGAAGUUUGCAGUAAUCUCCAGCAAAAGGUUGUUUCCCACUU